rnacentral:rRNA from 1 species
AACGAACGCUGGCGGCGUGCCUAACACAUGCAAGUCGUGCGAGAAAGUUCCUUCGGGAGCGAGUAAAGCGGUGCACGGGUGAGUAACACGUAGGUAACCUGCCCCCCAGUCUGGAACAACUAGAGGAAACUCUAGCUAAUGCCGGAUGAGACCACGAUCCCUUCGGGGGUUGCGGCCAAAGAUGGCCUCUACUUGUAAGCUAUCGCUGAGGGAUGGGCCUGCGGGCCAUUAGCUUGUUGGUGAGGUAACGGCUCACCAAGGCUGUGAUGGCUAGCUGGUCUGAGAGGAUGACCAGCCACACUGGGACUGAGACACGGCCCAGACUCCUACGGAGGCAGCAGUGGGGAAUAUUGGACAAUGGGCGAAAGCCUGAUCCAGCAAUGCCGCGUGUGUG